rnacentral:lncRNA from 1 species
GACAUGUUGAGGGUCACCGCAUUGCCUCUGUGACAAAGCAAACUCAUCCUUCACCACAGAAGCACAUGAGUAUCUUCUUUGGUGGAAAACAGAAAGGACCCAAAACAGCAGGACCACUGAGGGGAACUGUUCAGCCCUUCAGGUGACUCUCCAGAGAAACUUCCGGAGAUGGAAGGUGGUGGUGAAAGCACAUCAUUCCUCAUUUCUAGA